AUGUUGAUUUUUGUACUAAAAUUUGGUACAUUGGUAAUUGUUGAACAUGUUGAAUCAUCCACGACUUUAUCCCUCUUUAUCUCCUCUGAAGCAUGAUUUCUCCCAUCUCUAGUGGCGCGAUCUUCAAUUGAUUUUUCUCAUCACGCAAUCCUUAGCUGAUUUGAGUCCUCCACUACAUAGCCAUUCCUCUGAAGUUGUUAAGAUUCAUCUAAUUUUGUUCAUAAUUUGCAGGUUUUAUCUGGAUUUAAAUUCCUUAAUCAGCAGUCAUGAUUUAUCCAAAAUCAUAUGUGGGGAAUCACUCUGAAGAAUUUGGAAUAUCGAAUGUUUAGGUACAAAUUAACAUCAUGUUGAAUGUGGACAAUGCUUUGAAUUCCAGUGAUGCUCUCAAUAAUACCAUGAAUCUGAAUCCGUGAUGAAGAUGAUACUACUGUAGGUGUUUCUUGGAAGAUGGGAAAACAUUUUGUUCAAUUUGAAGUAAUUGUGGUUUUCUUGAUGCUAGAAACUGUCCAAAAAAUGAAUGUUGGGUUCAUUAUGUUUACAAGUACUUUUAGUUCUAUCUAUUGCAUAUGAUUGUAAGGAUUUGUUUAGUUUUUCAAAAUUUAAUAAAAAAGUGGUGUUUCUUUCUUUCAAAUAUAUGUUAAUUUUUAUUUUGUAUUCG
rnacentral:lncRNA from 1 species